GGGAACAGUCCCAGGAUCUGGGGCCUCAAGGCAGUUCCAGGGAUGUUGGGGCCUGACCGUUCUUUGCCUCCAUCUAUGAUCGAGAAAUGCCAACUGUUCGGGUUGCCCAUGGGAGGAGUCAAAGGCUGGGACGUGAAGGCAGCUUUGGUCCUGCGCCUUCUCGUCUGUGCCUGAAGAGUGCUCUGAACCGCCUCCCCUCAGCCGCCACCCUCCCCAGCAUGCCUUUUUCACCUCCUCUACCACUUGCUUUGAGGAGGCAACAUCAGUACCUGAUGGUCCAGAGGACAGUGCACGGGGUUCUGUAAAUGCGAAUCACUCUGGCCCCUAACAUGGUUUACAGGUGUGGAUCAAGAAACGGGAAAGAAAUCUCUAGCCCUGUGAAACUGACACACGAUUUCAAUAAAGCCAAUGACGU